CUAAGGAGCAUCUAGAAAACAGAAUAUGGUUUAUGAAUCCAGGAAGGGGUCCAGUGAGAAAGUGCUGGAAUUUCCAGGGAUUGGGCCGCUGAAUCGUGAAGCUUGCAGAACCCUGCAAACGCACCCAAGGUCCCUUGAUAUCUACAGAGAACUCCACAGCAAGC